rnacentral:rRNA from 1 species
CAAUAGCGUAUAUUAAAGUUGUUGCAGUUAAAAAGCUCGUAGUUGGAUUUCUGCUGAGGACGAUCGGUCCGCCCACUGGGUGAGUAUCUGGCUCGGCCUUGGCAUCUUCUUGGAGAACGUUGCUGCACUUGACUGUGUGGCGCGGUAUCCAGGACUUUUACUUUGAGGAAAUUAGAGUGUUUCAAGCAGGCGCACGCCUUGAAUACAUUAGCAUGGAAUAAUGAGAUAGGACCUUGGUUCUAUUUUGUUGGUUUCUAGAGCUGAGGUAAUGAUUAAUAGGGAUAGUUGGGGGCAUUCGUAUUUAACUGUCAGAGGUGAAAUUCUUGGAUUUGUUAAAGACGGACCACUGCGAAAGCAUUUGCCAAGGAUGUUUUCAUUGA